GGCAAUACGUAGUGAUUUCACAUUCAAACUCACGAGCGCAUAUGAAUUCCCUCCAUCUGGAAACUCUUCCGCCGCGCCAGAGGUCGCCUCCGGCGGCGGCGGAGCCCUAACCUCCCAACAAAAUGUAUAAAAAUCUUCCUCUCAUUGCCCAAAACCUAAAUCCACAGUCCAAUUUCCGAAAUUCAUCAUCAAACAUUCAGAUCAAAGUAAAAAUGGUGCAAACCCUAGCCUAUCAAAUUGUAAAUUAAAUACUGAGAGGGAGGAAUCAGAGCCUAAUGAGUUAGGGCUUUGAUUCAUCAAGUUCAAAGCUACAUCACUGUAUCAAAGAAGGGAGGAGAAGGAACUUACCUAUUGGAGCAACUCCAGUGGUUCUUCUGGUCAUCGUGCACGAAGGUUCAAGACUUUCCACUUCUUCAGGUUAGAUGUGUUAACUGCUGAAUUCGAUUUGUACAGCUCCGAUCAGUUAAACGUGAUUGUAAGGUCAAUUAAGAUCUUGGAACUGGUUGUUAAGGUCAAUUGUUGGCUUAUGAUGGUUGAAUGAACCACUGCUGUUACCUCCCUUUUUCGGACUCAGUGAGGCAUGUUGCUGCUAACAUGUGUCAAUCUAUGCGUUUUUUCCUGUAGCAGUUAAUUGGUAACUUGUUAAUUGUUGAUGAGGGCACUGUUAUUUCCCUUAGAAAACUGAUUAUUAUUGGUUCAUUGACAAGUUAGAUAUGUUGUCUAUGUUAGUUCAUGUUCUAAUCAGUUGAAAAAAGGAGAUCCCUGCUUGUGUACACGGCUAGUUGUUAUUUGGUUUGGGUUAAUAGUUAAAAAGGUUCAGUUGA